rnacentral:tRNA from 1 species
GUCACUUUGGCCGAGUGGUUAAGGCGGUGGUUUUAAGCACCACUCCCAGUGGGAUCGUGGGUUCGAACCCCACAGGUGGCA